AUUACUAUUCCCUGUCUCAGGAAAUCACUACCACCUCUAGGACUAGGGGGACAAAAGGAAGAGAUUGGGGUUAUCAGAACCAGGAAGCUUGGAGGAGGGUCCAUGUAGAGCUGGAACACGCAUUCCUGAGGAGAGGGUGCUGGCAGCCUGAUGCAGUUGUCCCUUGAGGAACACAAUAAGCCUGAAUCUGGGAACAAUGGGACCAAAAGCUGCAGACUGGAACCAAAACCUUGGCCUUGGUGAAGGGCCAUUAUUGUGGUAACAUUUAAGAAACCAGAAAGCAAACGGGAAGGAGUAACGCCUUCUGCCCUUCCUUCAGGCUUGCAUUCUCCCUCCUGUGCUCCCUAGCUUCAGCACCUAUCAGGGAACCCACGGCAAAUGAGCCAGCUGGAAAUGUGAUUUGCAGAGUUGCAGCCCCGGCACCACAGGGCCUCACAAAGUAGAACACAGAAGGGUUCUGCAGGAUAUACACGAAGUAUGGCACCAACAUCUGCUUCUGGUGAAGGCUUCAUGAAGCUUCCACCCAUGACAGAAGGCGAAGAACUGUUGCCAGCAUCAUGCUACAAGCCUGAAGGGAAGGUCUACUGACAGAGAAGGACAGAGACCAGGGAAACACAGAAAAGGAGAGACAAAGCCUUGACAUACCAAACCAGUGCCUGGCCUACCUAUGGACUUCUCAGUGUACGUAUUUAUGGAGUACAUGAGAUGUUCAGAUACAGGCAUGCAAUGCAUAGUAAUCACAUCCAG
rnacentral:lncRNA from 10 species